CAAGUCGAGCGGACAGAUGGGAGCUUGCUCCCUGAUGUUAGCGGCGGACGGGUGAGUAACACGUGGGUAACCUGCCUGUAAGACUGGGAUAACUCCGGGAAACCGGGGCUAAUACCGGAUGCUUGUUUGAACCGCAUGGUUCAAACAUAAAAGGUGGCUUCGGCUACCACUUACAGAUGGACCCGCGGCGCAUUAGCUAGUUGGUGAGGUAAUGGCUCACCAAGGCAACGAUGCGUAGCCGACCUGAGAGGGUGAUCGGCCACACUGGGACUGAGACACGGCCCAGACUCCUACGGGAGGCAGCAGUAGGGAAUCUUCCGCAAUGGACGAAAGUCUGACGGAGCAACGCCGCGUGAGUGAUGAAGGUUUUCGGAUCGUAAAGCUCUGUUGUUAGGGAAGAACAAGUACCGUUCGAAUAGGGCGGUACCUUGACGGUACCUAACCAGAAAGCCACGGCUAACUACGUGCCAGCAGCCGCGGUAAUACGUAGGUGGCAAGCGUUGUCCGGAAUUAUGGG
rnacentral:rRNA from 1 species